GAUGAACGCUGGCGGCGUGCCUAAUACAUGCAAGUCGAGCGAACAGACGAGGAGCUUGCUCCUCUGACGUUAGCGGCGGACGGGUGAGUAACACGUGGAUAACCUACCUAUAAGACUGGGAUAACUUCGGGAAACCGGCGCUAAUCCCGGAUAAUAUAUUGAACCGCAUGGUUCAAUAGUGAAAGACGGUUUUGCUGUCACUUAUAGAUGGAUCCGCGCCGCAUUAGCUAGUUGGUAAGGUAACGGCUUACCAAGGCAACGAUGCGUAGCCGACCUGAGAGGGGGAUAGGCGACACUGGAACUGAGACACGGUCAAGACUCCUACGGGAGGCAGCAGUAGGGAAUCUGCCGCAAUGGGCGAAAGCCUGACGGAGCAACGCCGAGUGAGUGAUGAAGGUCUUCGGAUCGUAAAACUCUGUUAUUAGGGAAGAACAAAUGUGUAAGUAACUAUGCACGUCUUGACGGUACCUAAUCAGAAAGCCACGGCUAACUACGUG
rnacentral:rRNA from 1 species